GUCGAGCGGACAGAUGGGAGCUUGCUCCCUGAUGUUAGCGGCGGACGGGUGAGUAACACGUGGGUAACCUGCCUGUAAGACUGGGAUAACUCCGGGAAACCGGGGCUAAUACCGGAUGCUUGUUUGAACCGCAUGGUUCAGACAUAAAAGGUGGCUUCGGCUACCACUUACAGAUGGACCCGCGGCGCAUUAGCUAGUUGGUGAGGUAACGGCUCACCAAGGCGACGAUGCGUAGCCGACCUGAGAGGGUGAUCGGCCACACUGGGACUGAGACACGGCCCAGACUCCUACGGGAGGCAGCAGUAGGGAAUCUUCCGCAAUGGACGAAAGUCUGACGGAGCAACGCCGCGUGAGUGAUGAAGGUUUUCGGAUCGUAAAGCUCUGUUGUUAGGGAAGAACAAGUGCCGUUCAAAUAGGGCGGCACCUUGACGGUACCUAACCAGAAAGCCACGGCUAACUACGUGCCAGCAGCCGCGGUAAUACGUAGGUGGCAAGCGUUGUCCGGAAUUAUUGGGCGUAAAGGGCUCGCAGGCGGUUUCUUAAGUCUGAUGUGAAAGCCCCCGGCUCAACCGGGGAGGGUCAUUGGAAACUGGGGAACUUGAGUGCAGAAGAGGAGAGUGGAAUUCCACGUGUAGCGGUGAAAUGCGUAGAGAUGUGGAGGAACACCAGUGGCGAAGGCGACUCUCUGGUCUGUAACUGACGCUGAGGAGCGAAAGCGUGGGGAGCGAACAGGAUUAGAUACCCUGGUAGU
rnacentral:rRNA from 1 species